GGCCGCCAUGUUGCAGCAGGAUAGUAAUGAUGACAGUGAAGAUGUUUCACUGUUUGAUGCGGAAGAGGAGACAACUAAUAGACUAAGAAAAUCCAAAAUCAGAAUGUCACAGGUAGACUAAUGGUUGGCCUACGUUGGUGGAAUCACAUUGAUGAAGAUGGAAAGAGCCAUUGGGUGUCUGAAUCUAGAAAGGAGUCCUCUCAAGAGAAUAAAACUGUGUCAGAGGCUGAAUCAAGGAUCUUUUGGUUGGAACUUAUUGCCUGUCCAGUGCUGUGGGUGAUAUUUGCCUUUAGUGCCCUCUUCUCCUUCAGAAUAAAGUGGUUGGCGGUGUUUAUCAUGGGUGUGGUGCUACAGGGUGCCAACCUGUAAGGUUACAUCAGGUGUAAGGUGGGCAGCAGAAAGAAUUUAACCAGCAUGGCUACUUCAUAUCUUGGAAAGCAGUUUUUAAGACAAAACACUGGAGAUGAUCAGACUUCCUGAGGAGAGAAAGAUUAUGUGCUUUGUUACAUUGGGGAACAACCGAAGAGAUUCUUGACUCUGAACCUUUUAGAGCUUAGUCCAUGUUGCAACAAGGAGUGUUGGCUUUGUUUUUCCACUUAAAAACUUUAUUUAUAAAAAG